AAUGAACGUUGGCGGCGUGGAUUAGGCAUGCAAGUCGAGCGAGAAGCUUUCCUUCGGGAGAGCGGACAGCGGCGAAAGGGAGAGUAACAUGUGGGUCACCUACCCCUGAGUACGGGAUAGCUGCGGGAAACUGCAGGUAAUACCGUAUAACAUCUCAGGAUCAAAGCUCCGGCGCUUGGGGACGGGCCCGCAUACUAUUAGCUAGUUGGUAAGGUAAUGGCUUACCAAGGCGAAGAUGGUUACCGGGUGUGAGAGCAUGACCCGGCUCACUGGGACUGAGACACUGCCCAGACACCUCCGGGUGGCUGCAGUCGAGAAUCUUCGGCAAUGGACGAAAGUCUGACCGAGCGACGCCGCGUGCGGGAUGAAGGCCUUCGGGUUGUAAACCGCUGUCAGAGGGAAGGAAAUUUUGACCGAUCCUCAAAGGAAGUACGGGCUAAGUUCGUGCCAGCAGCCGCGGUAAGACGAACCGUACGAACGUUAUUCGGAAUCACUGGGCUUAAAG
rnacentral:rRNA from 1 species